rnacentral:rRNA from 1 species
AGCAGUGGGGAAUAUUGGACAAUGGGCGAAAGCCUGAUCCAGCCAUGCCGCGUGUGUGAAGAAGGUCUUUGGAUUGUAAAGCACUUUAAGUUGGGAGGAAGGGCAGUCAGCGAAUACCUUGCUGUCUUGACGUUACCGACAGAAUAAGCACCGGCUAACUCUGUGCCGGCAGCCGCGGUAAUACAGAGGGUGCAAGCGUUAAUCGGAAUUACUGGGCGUAAAGCGCGCGUAGGUGGUUUGUUAAGUUGAAUGUGAAAUCCCGGGCUCAACCUGGGAACUGCAUCCAAAACUGGCAAGCUAGAGUAGGGCAGAGGGUGGUGGAAUUUCCUGUGUAGCGGUGAAAUGCGUAGAUAUAGGAAGGAACACCAGUGGCGAAAGCGACCACCUGGGCUCAUACUGACACUGAGG